rnacentral:lncRNA from 1 species
CGUCUGCCACUUGGCAAGCUGUUCAUCUCAAUUUCCUUUUCCUUUUGUGAAAAACGUGGAAACCGAUCUCAGUUUUCACUUGCUGUAAACUGGAGUUGUUCUGUGAAAGCUUGAGGACCUCGAGCAAUUUACAACAGCUGAGGAUCUGUGUUUGAAAAGAAGACAAGCUCACUGUAACCUGAGGCACCUCACAGGGGAAAAAUAAAACCUGUCAGCAAUUUCCACCUCUUCCUGCAAGGGAUGAACGCUGGCGACCCUGACCCACAGCUGCUUUGGCUCUUCUGGAUGCAAGGCAGCUGAGGUAUUCCAGCUUCUUGCUUUUUCUAAUGCCCUAGGCAUUUUUAAAGAACCACCUCAGUGGACGUGACUGUCCCAAGGCCACAACACAACCAGCUGAGCCCUCUUGUGUGUAGUCUGUCUGGGCCAGUGAACCAGGCUUACUUCACCUGGCAGUCAUUCCUGCACUGAUGCGACCGAUGCUGACUCAACUCCAGGGGAUGGAAACGCAAGCCAGAUUGAAGCCAGAGGACUUCAACAUCAGCAGAAAUGCCUUUUAAAGAAGAAACAGUUGUUGAAGCUGUGGCAGCAGGAAGGUGCCUUGUGGUGGAUAGAGAGGGUUUUUGCUUGCUUGAUAGCAUAAGGGAGGUGACAGAAAACCAGAGCUACAGAUUGCCUUCCUGUUGGCAAUGCCGCCACUCCAUAGUGUUGGCAUUACUUGCUGCCCUCUCUGACCGUCCGUCCCUGCUGUGUGCUCUGAAGUUUUGGUGCCCUGUAUGUUCUUGA